rnacentral:lncRNA from 1 species
UGCCCCUCCGUUUAAAUACCCUUCAGCUUCUAACGAAUCUAACAAUCCCUCUAUCUGUUUCAGCUGCAGGAGCAGGAACCUGGUCAGCCCUUUCGGUCAGGUGUCCACCCCUUCUCCCUCCAGGAACGAGCAGGGAGCGGAGCCAGUUGUAGAAACAUGGAAAGAAUCGCGAAGCCGCUGACCUCAGACUCGCAUCUCUGAGGAACCUGACUUUGGACUUUAGCCUACGUGUUAAACCUCAGGAAAUUUUAUACAUGAGCAAGGAACACAGGACCCAAGACAAGCAGACUGAUCGUCAAGCCGCUGUCUCAAUUUUUUUAAAUGUUCUUGAGAACAUUUGACGUGUUCUUCGAGCCAAAGCAAUAGCUUCUUAUUUGGUGAGCAUGUUUUUUGAGACAAUACGAGGCUCGACUUUAAAAUUUACCCAAAUAAAAGUGUGUAUGCAUGUCU